rnacentral:rRNA from 1 species
GAUGAACGCUGGCGGCGUGCCUAAUACAUGCAAGUCGAGCGAACGGACGAGAAGCUUGCUUUUCUGAUGUUAGCGGCGGACGGGUGAGUAACACGUGGAUAACCUACCUAUAAGACUGGGAUAACUUCGGGAAACCGGAGCUAAUACCGGAUAAUAUUUUGAACCGCAUGGUUCAAAAGUGAAAGACGGUCUUGCUGUCACUUAUAGAUGGAUCCGCGCUGCAUUAGCUAGUUGGUAAGGUAACGGCUUACCAAGGCAACGAUGCAUAGCCGACCUGAGAGGGUGAUCGGCCACACUGGAACUGAGACACUGUCCAGACUCCUACGGGAGGCAGCAGUAGGGAAUCUUCCGCAAUGGGCGAAAGCCUGACGGAGCAACGCCGCGUGAGUGAUGAAGGUCUUCGGAUCGUAAAACCCUGUUAUUAGGGAAGAACAUAUGUGUAAGUAACUGUGCACAUCUUGACGGUACCUAAUCAGAAAGCCACGGCUAACUACGUG